rnacentral:rRNA from 1 species
AUUGAACGCUGGCGGCAUGCUUUACACAUGCAAGUCGAACGGUAACAGGCCUUCGGGUGCUGACGAGUGGCGAACGGGCGAGUAAUGCAUCGGUACGUACCCAGAGGUGGGGGAUAACGCAGCGACAGCUGUGCUAAUACCGCAUGUGAUCUGAGGAUGAAAGCGGGGGACCGAGCAGCAAUGUUUGGCCUCGCGCCUUUGGAGCGGCCGAUGUGGGAUUAGCUAGUUGGUGGGUUAAUGGCCUAGCCAGGCGACGAUCCGUAGCUGGUCUGAGAGGACGACCAGCGACACGAGAGGUGAGACACGGCCAAGGGGCCUGCGGGAGGGAGCAGUGGGGAAUGUUGGGCAGUAGGCGCGAGCCUUAUCCAACAAGGGCACGUGCGAGGAAGAGGCGUUGCGGGUGUGAACCGGUUUUUGCAGGAACAAAACGGUGUCCGCUAAGACCGAGCGCUAAUGACGGUAACUGCAGAAUAAGCACCGGCUAACUACGUG